UGCAGAGGUCUCAAGCGUUGUUCGGAUCCUUGGGCGUAAAGGGUGCGUUGGCGGCGCGGUUAGUCGGGUGUGAAAUCUCGGAGCUUAACUCCGAAACUGCAUUCGAUACUGCCGUGCUUGAGGACUGGAGAGGAGACUGGAAUUUACGGUGUAGCGGUGAAAUGCGUAGAUAUCGUAAGGAAGACCAGUGGCGAAGGCGGGUCUCUAGACAGUUCCUGACGCUGAGGCACGAAGGUCAGGGGAGCAAACGGG
rnacentral:rRNA from 1 species